rnacentral:rRNA from 1 species
UACAGAGGUCCCAAGCGUUGUUCGGAUUCAUUGGGCGUAAAGGGUGUGUAGGUGGCGCCGUAAGUCGGGUGUGAAAUCUCGGGGCUUAACUCCGAAACUGCAUUCGAUACUGCGGUGCUUGAGGACUGGAGAGGAGACUGGAAUUCAUGGUGUAGCAGUGAAAUGCGUAGAGAUCAUGAGGAAGACCAGUGGCGAAGGCGGGUCUCUGGACAGUUC